UGACAUUACGCUCUCUGGCCUACGUCUCUUCUGGGAUGAUAGUGUUGAAGAGCGUGUCAGCUUCUGUGGUCAUUUGCGGACCUUCAGCUCACCUGGUUUACUCUGGGUUGGUUGGAGAUCAUCCGACUCUUGAUCACCUUUACUUUGAAAAAAUUAGAGUGUUCAAAGCAGGCUUACGCCGUGAAUACUAUUAGCAUGGGAUAACACCGUAGGACUUCGGUUCUAUUUUGUUGGUUUUUUAGCAACUGGAGUA
rnacentral:rRNA from 1 species